AGGUAUGAUCAUACCAACACUAAUGCACCGGAUCCAUUCAGAACUUUGCAGAUAAGCAUGCUUGGGCGAGAGUAGUACUUGGAUGGGUGACCUACUAGGAAGUCCUCGUGUUGCACCUC
rfam:Lupinus angustifolius cultivar Tanjil contig_28870, whole genome shotgun sequence.